rnacentral:rRNA from 1 species
UACAGAGGUCUCAAGCGUUGUUCGGAUUCAUUGGGCGUAAAGGGCGCGUAGGCGGCGGGGUCAGUCGGGUGUGAAAACUUGGGGCUUAACCCCGAAACGGCACUCGAAACUGCCCGGCUGGAGGGCCGGAGAGGAGAUCGGAAUUCACGGUGUAGCAGUGAAAUGCGUAGAGAUCGUGAGGAAGACCCGUGGCGAAGGCGGAUCUCUGGACGGCUAACUGACGCUGAGGCGCGAAGGCCAGGGGAGCAAACGGG